rnacentral:lncRNA from 1 species
GUUGGAAAAGAAAAAACAAAUACAAGAAUUACCUGGCCUAGCUAUAUUACAUUUAAAAAAAAAAACUUCUUUGGUUUUGACUGGAAUAUGAUGCUAGUGUUCAAAUUGAUGGGAAUGACAUUGAUACGGGGAGAGUUUUAUUUUGUUGAUUAGUGUUAAAGGUUUCUUUUGAUUAGAGAUUUGUUGCCAGAGAGUUUCUGGUAUAUGGAAUUUUUGUCGAAUGAGAAUUUGACUCGAAAGCUCGGGGGAUUGAGAGACUUGUGUUUUGAAUAAGCAGACCACAAAUAGGCAGCUUUGGUCACUUUCUCCAGUGAGGUAUGGUUGUGUUAGGCUUGAUGUUUUGGUUGUUAUCUUGUCUAUUUGACCAUGCUAAUGUGAUUCAAAUGUUGCGUUUCUUGUGGCAUGAUGUGUGAUUGCGAGUUUGCCUUGUUCAAUUGAUUCUUUCUGGCACUUACAUUGAUAUUUACCUGAUUUCUUUCUUUGUUUCGUUGAAGUUACAUAAACAUACUUUCGGUUGAACAAAUGUGAAUCUAGGUUUUAGAAAAUCUGAUUACAUGCUGAGAAACAAGAGAAAUCGUGGUAGGUUUUUGUAAAUUUGAUUAGACCUAAAUAUCAGAUAAAUUGCUUAUACAUGGUUGGUUGAUAAACAUUUGAUGCAACUGAGGAUCAUUUUGAACAUUGUGCCAAUUUCCGAGGGUGGUUUGGUUUUCUCUGCAAGGAAAUUAGUGGUGUAGAAAUAAAUGACGACUGCCUUGCUGUUCAAAACUGUGCCUUUCUCUAAACAUAUCAGUUUGUUUUGUUCUUCAAUCUCUGGGAUUUGAUAUCUUAUUAUCUUCAUACCUCCCAAGUUUUCCUUCUGGAUUUGGUUGUUUGCCUCAGGCCAAUGCCGAUCUUGCUACCUCUAUAACAGGUUUUGAAAUUUAAGCGGCUUGCAUGGAUAUACCUGAGCAGCAAGCCACAUUUAGCUGUGGUGCACUCUUAUGGCAUUGCUUUCUAAUACACCUUCUUUGCAUUUUGACGGAGAGACAUUCUCAUCAUCUCUCUAUAGUUCUGCUUAGAAAGUUGACUAUCCUAGGGUUGCGCAGUACUACUGUAAAAUUAGGAUGACUGAAAGAGUUGUCGUCACCAUUAUCCUUUCUGCUAGCUACUUCCCUCUUGGUACCAAAAAAGAAAGAAAGAAAACAAAGUUCGUGUCAUUUCUUUUCUUUUUGGAUAGGCUUUUAAUGCAGACUGUUUAUGUUUGUAAGCUCAACACUCAUCUUAAUCUAAUAUGCUUUUGCACUAGCAAGCUCAUCUGCAUUUUUCUCUUUUGCUUUCUUUGAAGCCAAUUGCAUUAUCAGGAUAUUCAUGGCCCUGAAAAUUCAGUUAUCUUGGCACUGAUUUCUUGUUUCUCCCCUGGCAGGUACACUCUGGUUUUCAUGCAGUGGUUCUUCCAGAUUUGAUUUGGGUUCAAAAUGCUCCAAGCUUGAGUUUAUAGACCGAUGAAAGCAAUUUUGUUAAAAAAUAUUAGAAAGUGAAUUGAAGCAACUGUGGUAAACCUGCCGAAGAAAAUAUUUGAA